UAGGCUGUUAGUGUUUUAUUGAAAUAUAUUUUCCCUACCCUAAAGUGAUCAUCUAAAAAAUACAUUUUAACAUUUCUGAGAUCAGUAUAUGGUUUACAAUCGAUAUAUGCCUUUUUGAAAAGCUAUAGUAGACAUUAAGCUGUAGUAUAAAUAAUUCAUAUUAGAAUUGAGGAAAUAGAAUAUAAAUGAUAAAUAUAUUUAGGGCUCUUCAGUGGCUGCUGUCUAAAAAGAGGAUUACUGCCUAGAUUAAUUUUUUUGGCAGUUUGUUUCUUAAUCUGUAGCUUAAUUUAGAAAUUUAAAAAUCAGUUUUUUUUUUUAACAGGUGGAGCAAUUCUUCCAAUUUAAAACAGUUUAGCUUGGACAAGUAGAGCCAUAAUCCAAAUAGAUAACCAGUGAUUAUGGAUUGUCAAGUUGCUGCAGUGCUGUGACUGAGUUUUCCAGAUAACCUAAGUCUUACUGUUCUUAAAAAGUUCUUGGGUUUUGGACAUUUGUUUCUCACAUAAUUGAUGUUAAGAAUGUGUACUUAAACAACCCAUGCGGUAUGAGUCAUGUCCAGGAGCUUUCUUCCUCUGGCUAAAGCUAUCAUUGACCAUUUUUUUCAGUUGUGAUGAAAAGUCUUGGAACUCAUGCUUCCAUCCCAUAUUGCUUGUUUCUGAGUCUUCCAUGAAGACCCUUUUCCAUUUAGAAUUCUGGAGCUAUAGGGUUGUGGUAGGGCUUAUUUCAGCACCUAAGGCUUCUUUCCCAUUAAUUAGUGGUACAUUUGUGUAGCAUUAACAGGCCACAAUAACUGCUGAACUCCCCAGAAUUUGCUUUCAGCAGAGUUCAAGUAAUAAACGUUUAAAAACUUUUUUUUUUCACUUAACCUCAUUCGUCAUUGAGGAUAUGUAAGCCAAAACAAGAGAUGCUAAUUUCACCUUGUCUAAGAUUAUAAUUAUAGUUAGCAGUGAUUAGAUUUAUAGAAUACUUUGUUGUGGUGAGGAUGUAGAGAAAUACAUAAGACUAUUGUUGGUAUUUUUUUUAAGUAAAGUUUUUAUUCAAGUAUAAAAAAUACAUCAAAGGUGUACAUCUUAGAAUUUUUACAAAGGGAACACACCAUUUAACCACCACUCAUAUCAAGAAAUAGAACAGGACCAACAUCGUAGAGCACUCCAUGCCCUCUUUAUCAAUUUACCCCCUUACCCCUACAACUGGAACCAGUAUCUUGAUAUUGCCAUUGAUUAAUUUUGCUUAGUUUUUGAACUUGAUGUAAAUGGCACAUACACAUAAAUGGCUUGUUUUUUUUCCUCUUAACAUUAGGUUUGUGGGAUUAGUCUGUAUUAUUGCCUGUAAUAAUAGUGUAUUUUUAUGGCUAUGUAGUAGUCUGUUGCAUUAGUAUACCACUACUUGUUCUAUGGAUGGACAUUGGAUUAUUUUCAAAUUUUGGAUGUUACAAAUAAUGUUGCUGUGGCCAUUCUUUUACAUGUCUUUUGGUAUAUACAUGUAUGAAUUAAUGUUGCAUAUAUAUCUAAGAAUGGAAUUGCUGGGUCAUAGGGAAUACAUGUGUUCAGCUUAGUAGAUACUGCAAAACAGUUUUCCAAAGUGGUUGUACUGUUUUACAGUCCUACCAGCAGUGUAUUAGAAUCCCAGUUGCUCUACAUCGUCACUAGCAUUUGGUAUGGUCACUGUUUUUAGUUGUAGCCUUCUGGUGGGUGUGUACUGAUAUCUCAUUCUGGAUUUAAUUUGUGUUUUCCUGAUGACUAAGGAGACAGUACUUUUUAAUAUGUUUAUGGACCUUUGGAUAGCUUCUUUUGCCUGUUUUUCUGUAGGUUGUCAUUUUACUGAUUUGUAGGACAUCUUAAUAUAUUUAAGAAUAGAGUGUGUCUUUGUAGUUAUUGCAAUUAUCUUCUCCCAUUCUGUCCUGCUUUUUUAUUAAUGAUGUCUUUUGAUGAGCAGGAGUUCUUAAUUUUAAUAUAGUCCAGUAUAUCUGUACUUUCCUUUAAGGUAAGUGCUUUAUGUAUGCUAUUUAAGAAGUAUUUGUCUACCCCAAGAUUGUUAAUCUUUUGUUUUUCUAGAAGCAUUGUUUGACCUAUCAUAUCUAGAUCUAGAAUCAUCUAGAAUCUAUUUUGUGCAUGGUAAUAGGGAGACGUUAAAAGUAACAUUUUUCCAUAUGGAUAUUCAAUCGACCCAGCAACAUUUAUUGUUCCAUUGGUCUAUUUGUCCUAGUGCCAAUGCAACACUGUAGGAAUAAAAUAAUUCAAUAUUCAAUAUCUGGUAAUGUAAGUCCUCCAGUUUUUUUGUUGUUCACGAUUGUACUGAUUAUUCUUGGCUCUUUGCAUUUCCAUAUACACCUUAGAAUCAGCUUGUUAAUUUCAAUAAUAGAACAACAACAACAAAAACCUGCUGGGAUUUUGAUUAGGAUUUUACUGAAUCUAUAAAUUUGGGAGUAUUAACAGUCUUUACACAAUUAUGUUCUUUUAAUCCAUGAACAUAGUGUAUUCUUCCAUUUAUUUAGAUCUUUAAUUUUUUCCAAUAUUUUUUUCUUUUUUUUUUUUUUGUGGCCGUGCUGUGUGGCUUGCGGGAUAUUAGUUCCUCGACCAGGGAUCCAACCCAGCCCGCAGCAGUGAAAGCACCAAAUCCUAACCACUGGACCACCAGGAAAUUCCUGUGUUUUGUGGUUUUCUAUGUAGAGGUCUGGUACUUUUUAUUGGACAAAUUUCUAGUUAUUUGAUUUUUUUGUGUGUGUUAUUUUAAAUAGUAUUUUUUUUUCAUUUUCCGGUUGUUACUACUUAUAGUAAUACUAUAUACUGACCUUGUUUUCCAUGACCUUGCUAAAUUAUUAAUUCUAAUAGUUCCAUGUAGAUCCUGAGAGAGGACAAUAUAAAUGAAAGUUUUAAAUGAAUGCACCCUUUGCUUGUGUGUGUAUGCUUACGAAUAAAUGUAAAAUACGUUCACUUUGGCAUUAUAAUAGCAAAUUAGAAAUAACCUAAAUGCCCAUCAAUUUUGGUUCACCCUUACUAUGUAUAUACUAUGUUGCUGUUUUAAAAAAAUGAGGCUAAAACAUUUCUACUAAUGUUGUAAGUUGUUUGUGUACAAUGUUAGAUGAGAAUAGUAAGAUACAUAACAUUGCAUAAUCUUAUGUGUAUAAAACAGGAAAAUAUUCUGUGUGUGUAUUAGCCUGUCUUUAGGAAAUUUCUGAAAGAUACAACUUCUUUUCAUAAAACAGUUUUGACUUAAAAAGUCAUGUAUGUAAACUAUACAGUUUGAGAGGUUUUGGGAUAUGUAUGCACUUGUAAAACCAUCAUCAUGAUCAAGAUAGUCAACAUAGCCUUCAACCUCAAAAGUUUCCUUGUUGUAUUUUGUAAUUUCCUCCCUCCUGUUUCCCCUUUCUUUCAUCCCCAAGCAACCACUAAUCUGCUUUUUGUUAUUUUACAUUAGUUUGCAUUGUCUAGAGUUUUAUAUAAAUGGAAUCAUAUAAUUCAUGUACUCUUUUUUUUAGGAGGGAGAUGGUCUGGCUUCUUUCAGCAUAAUUGUUUUGAGAUUCAUCCAUGUUGCAUGUGUCAGUAGUUUAUUCCUUUUAUUGCUGGGAAGUAUUCCACUGUUAACGACAUACCACAGUUUGUUUAUUCACCUAUUGAUGGACAUUUGGGUUGUUUCCAGUUUUUGUCUGUUACUAAUAAAGCUGCUAUGAAUGUGACAAGUCUUUAUGUGGGCAUACAUUUCCUUUUUUCUGUGGAUAAAUAGGAAUGGAAUGGUUGGAUAGUAUGGUAGGUGUGUAUUUCGUUUCUUAAGAAACUGCCAAACUGUUUUACAAAAUGAUUUUACAUUUCCACCAGCAGUGUCUGAAAUCUCCUGUUCCUCCACAUCCUCUGCAGCACUUGGUAUAGUUAGUCUUUUUGCAAGUCCAACGCACUAUCCAUUGUACUGUAGAGCUGGCUUAGUCUUUGUAAUUUUUCCAUUCUAGUAGGUGGUUUUUUAUUUGUAUUUUCCUAAUGACUAAUGAUGUUGAGCAUCUUUUUACGUGCUUAUCUGCCAUCUGUAUAUUUUCUUUAGUGAGGUGUGUAUUCUAAUAACAAUAUUGGGUCUUCUGAUCCAUGAGUAAGGUAUAUCUCUCUAAUAGUUUAGGCCUUUUAAAAUUCCAGCAGUGUUUUAUACUGUUCAGUGUACAGGUCUUUCACUUCUUUUGUCAUAUUUGUCCCUAAGUAUUUCAUAAUCUUUAAUGUUUUUGUAUACUUUUUAAAAUUCAAUUUUUGAUUGCUCAUUGCUAGUGUAUAGAAAUAACAUUGGUAUUUGUGUAAUGAUCUCGUACCCUGCAGCCUUGCUAAACUCAUUUAGUUUUAGUAGUAGUGUUUUGUUGUUUUUGUAGAUGUCAUCAGAUUUUCUUCAUAGACAAUUAUAUUUUCUGUUAAUAUAAAGUUUUAACUUUUCUUCUCCUGCUCUUAUUUGUUUAUCUUGCCCAAUUGCACUGGCUGGAACCUCCAGCACAAUGUUAUAUAGAAAUGGUAAGAGCAGACAUAUUUGUAUUGUUUCUGAUCUUAGGGAGAAAACCAUUCUUUCACCAUUAAAUAUGAUGUUAGCUGUAAGUUUUUCAUAGGUGUUCUUUAUUAGGUUGAGGAGUUCAUUUCUAUUCCUCGUUUGCUGAGAGUUUUUAUCAGGAAUGGAUGGAUGUUGGAUUUGUCAGAUGCCUUUUCUUCAUUUAUUGAGAAGAGCAUGUGUGUUUUCUUUUUAAGUUUAAUAUAAAGAAUUAUAAUGCAUAUAAUGAAUUACAAUGAUUGCUUUUUAAAUACCAAACAAACCCUGCAUCCCUGGUAUAAACCCCAGUUGUUAUGUAUUGUCCUUUAAAAAUAGUUUUGGAUUUGCAUUGCUAAAAUUAAAAAUUUUUUUUUUUGCAUUUAUGUUCAUGAGCCUGAAAGUUCUGGAGUGAUGAAAUAUAAAUAGCACCAAAAGUUUUUCUUCUGUGGCAUUAAGGACAAAAUGGAAGAGAUGGAUGGUCCUAAUAGAUCUUCAAGAAGGAAUGGAAGAACACUUGAAAUGGUAAUAUGAAGGUACGUUAUAAAAGACUUAUUUCUCACUUUCUUUGAAAAUCUUACAAGUGUUUAAAGCAAAAUUAUAACUAUAUUGUGGGAUUGAUUAUGUAGGCGCAUCAUACAUAUGGUAACUAUAGCAUUAAGAGUCAGCCAAGGGAUGGUAAAUGGAUACAUUUUAUUGUAAAUUCCUUAUAUUUUACUUGAAGUGAUAUAAUAUGAAUUCUCAGAAGACCUUGAGAGGUUGAGAAUAUAUAUGAUAAUACUUAGGGCAAGCACUAUAUAGAAAUAAUGCAAAGAGGUAUAGCUAAAAGUCAGUAGAUAACAAAGAUGGAAUUCUAAAAAUUAUUUAAUCCAAAAGAAAGCAGGAGAGGACGAGAGCAGUUGUGCUCCCAAGUCUUCUCUCAGGGAGAGGGUGAAAGCUCAGUAAGACUUAAUUUUGAGAUUUGGGAACUUGUAUUAGGUGUUUGUUUUGUUUUGUUUUGUUUUUUUAAUGGCUGGAAAAUUCUCAGCAGUGUUGACAUUUGGAAAUGAAUCUUCUGAGGAAUUCACAGAAUUGUUCUGCAGAUUAUAUUAUGUUGUGCUUGAAAUGUUAAAGUCAGCUUUUAAAAAUA
rnacentral:lncRNA from 1 species